rnacentral:lncRNA from 1 species
UUGGUUUGGGUUUUCUUUUCUUCUUUCGAGUGUUGUUGUUGUCUGAGUCUCGUGGUUCAAUCACAGUGCAACGGAACCAAUGCAUAACAUUGAAACCGUAAAACCCUAACCAUUCACGAAGUGAGAGUUUGUGUUGCGAAUUGUGAUAAUUGAUUGAAUCGAGUUGUUGAAUCGGUGGAAUGGAGGUGGAGUUGGAGCCUCGCGUGAAGGCGCUUCCGUUCAAGGUGAAAGCCACGUCGUGAGAAUCGCCGUCGCAGAAAGCGCUCCACGUCCUCGACACCGACCUCCGCACUCACUGGUCCACCGCCACCAACACCAAGGAGUGGAUUCUUCUAGAACUCGAUGUCAGUCCCUCUCUCUCUUUCUUCAAUGCAGCUCAACGUUUUCUUCAAUUUUCAUUCUCGUGCGUCUCGUAGUAGUUGUAGUAAUAAUGUUUUUCCUCUGACUUAUUCGGUUUCGUAAUGCUGUAAUCUCUUCGUAUACGCUGAAUGAUUGUUUCCUUCGUUUGGUUUUGGAACUCUAGGUCUGCUUCCUGAUUAUGAGCUUUCGAUUAUAAACUAGAUGAUUGUUUCUUUCGGUUGGUUUUUGAGCUGUAGGACUAUUUUCAGAUGGAGAACCUUGUUUGUUUGUUUAAUUUGGUGCAUAAAUGAGGGAAACUGGUACUUAGGUUUGCAUUUUCGAUUAUAAUAUAAACGGUGUAUGAUUGUUUCAUUGGGUUGGUUUUUGGACUCUACGGCUGCUUCUAGACAGAGAACUUAAUUUGUCUGCUUAGUUUGGUGCAUAAAUGAGUGAAACCCGAACUUAGGUUUUGCACUUUCAAAUUUUGUUUUCUUCCUCUUUUCAUCGUUAUAUUACUAAUAAAUAAUAAGUAGUAAAUAAUAAAUGAUGGAUGAUUGUUUCCUUGGUUGGGUUUUGAACUCUGGGGCUGAUCCAAGAUGAAUUAUUUGUUCUGUUUGUUUAAUUUGAUGCAUAAAUGCGUGAACCUAGAAUUUAGCUUUUUUGCAUUUUCUAUUUUUCUUUUCCACCUUGUUAUUAUCAUUAUAAUGAUUAUUAAUUAUUAAUUAACGAUGAAUGAUAGUUGGGUUAGGUUUUGAACUCUAGGGCUGAUCCAAAUAGCUUUAUUAUUUGUUUGUUUAAUUUGAUGCAUAAAUGGAUGAAACUAGAACUUACGAUUUACACUUUCAAUUUUCUUUUUCAACUUAAUAACACUCUUUUCAAAUCAUUGAAGAAAGUAAUGGACAACCAUUUUCAUAUAAAACAUCCCGUCUUUCAUUUUCUUUACUGAACUCAAACCCCUGAUAUAACCACCUCCACUUCACACCAUUAAUCCUUGGAUCCUUCAGUUUUUACCUCUGUUUGAAAGCUGUACUCUCCAACCAAAACCAACCAUCCUAUUCUGCAAGACCCUUUAAAUUUGUGGGUGUUUGUCUUGUAAAUAAUGAUGUGGGAAUGGUAGUGUCUGUUUGAUUUAAAUUCCAAACCAAGCUUACACCAUUCCAAUACAUGAAACCCCAUUUAUAGCAUAAUUUCCAGAGCAAUUUUUUUUUUUUCAACAUGGACUAUUGGAGGUUUAAAUAUGAAGUUAAACACGCCUGAAGUCAUCUACAACUUUUGAAUCAAGACCUUCUACUAUCUACCAAGUUAUGUUACAUGUGAAUGACUCUAUGGUAGCAUGUUAUCUUGAAAUUAAUUGAGUAAUUACACCAGUAUAUUGCUGCUGUUAGUAAUUUAUCCUGAAUUAAGAUUUUAUUCAGACAUGAAGGGUGCAUCUGUCUUCUAACCAUAACAAUUAUUUCAUAUUGAUGAGUAAUUUGAUUCCUUUCAUUAAGAAAAUAGACAAAGGAAUCAUGAAUGAAAAAGAUAAAGAUAAAGAAAAGUAUAUUUAUUCACUUAAAAUGUGUUAACAUACCUUUCCUUUUCUUAUAUUUGGUGUUGCUUAGUUUUUAUUAAACUGAUUUUCAUGCUUGGUUUUCCAUCUUCUAUUAGACAAUUGAAAAUGCCAGUUAUGAAGCGAUAUGUUCUGAGACUGUUCAUAUCAUUAAAGUAUAUCACUGCAAACGUGGUAGACAGAAGCAACGGUCGAAUUGUAGCAACAUCAUCCACUGCAGAACACACCAUUAAAGAGUCACUUGAGUGUGGUAGGUCCUGCAAUGCUAAAGCAGCUACUGUUGUUGGGGAGGUGUUGGCCAGAAGGCUCAAAGUUGAGGGCCUGAAUGAAGGAGAAGGAAGAGGUAUUCACGCAAACAUAGGUAAAGAAGUAGGGAAGAAAGGAUUCAAGAACCAAACCAAGGUUUGGGCUGUUAUGAAUGCUCUUAAGAACAAUGGAGUCAAACUCAUCCUCGAUGAUGAAAACGAUGACAAAUUCUUGGCCUGAUUCAUGUUAAAAAUAUGGUGAGUCUUCUGCUAAUAACUUCUAUGCAAUCAAAAGAACAUGGAAGUAUUAUUUCUCAGAAGCAUUAUUGUCAGAAUCUAAAUGAAAAUCUUCAAUUUAGUUAUUGAAAAUGUUAGCAAUAAUCAAAAUUACAAGGAAGUAUUAUUCAAUAUUAUUUCUCAGAAGCAUUAUUGUCAGAAUCUAAAUGAAAAUCUUCAAUUUAGUUAUUGAAAAAUGUUAGCAAUAUACUUUUACCCAGAUACUCUUAUUGUUGGCAAAAAUUUAUUGAAAAUCACAAAAUUGUGUUGCUUGUUCUCACUUUAUUUACUGAGUUUUAUCCAAGAUUUUGUGAUAUUUUUUAUAGAUUUUAAACCAAAGUAAGAUUAUGUUACAAGAACUCUUCUUUACUUCGUUUUAAUUCAUUUGUGAUAGUAAAACAGAUUAACUUAUCAGUCAUACCAGAUGUUUUGUUUAUCUUUGUUAAUAUAAUAAUCUAAUACUUUUAAGUUCUAAUUAUCUCUCCUCGUUCUUUCUCUUCUUUUGUUUAUAAUAUUAAAAUUCACAUUGUGACUCUUUUUAUAACUAAAUUUGAAUAUUAAAAUAUUUUAAUAUAACCUAACUAAUAACGUAGAAUAAAAUAAAUGUGUGUGUAUAUUACUAAGAUGUAAUAUUUUUUAAAUAUUGAAAUUCUUUCCUACAGUUAAAUGCUACAAACUAAAUAAUAAUAAUAAUAAUUUUAAAUAAAAUACCUAACCUUUGUAAUUUAAUUCAAACUAAAGUGACUUACAAUAGGUAAACAAUUAUUUGGAUGUGAUAUCUUUUAACUUUGAGAUUUAAAGGGAACAAUUUGACGUCUAAGGAUUAUUUUUUUUCAAAAUUCAACAAUAAUAAUAAAAAAUAAUGAUUUAUUAGAAUUUCAUGUAAAACUCGUCACAGCUAUUUACAAUCAAAUUUUUCUUUUUUACUUGAAUAUUAAAAAAUAAAAUUAAUAGAGAAUUAAUAAUUCAAAAUUUAAUAUUUCUCUUAAUGACAUAUUUAAAGUUGUAGCUAAUAAUAAUUCUGUUUUCAAUAAUAAGUCUUAUUAUAAUAAUAGUAUCUAAUUUAAUCUUAAAAUAAUAAUUCCAUAUUAAAUUUUUAAUUUAUUAACUUUUAAAUCACUUAAGAUGGGAUAAAUAUUUUAAAAAAUAAAAGUAAUACGUUUAAUUAAGUAUAUUUAAUUUCUUUGUUCUCGAAUUCAACGUAUUUUCUUUUAAUAACUUUGAUUUUUUAAAAAAAGAAAUUCGUCCCACGAAAAUCAUGCACACUCACUUACAUAUUUACUUAUUUAAAUUAGUUAUUCAUAUUUUUAUAAUUAUUGUUUCUCGAUUUUAUAUUUUUAAAGUGUUAUUUAAAUUAAAUAACAUUCACAUAUUUAUAAAAUACUCAUUUUGUGGUACAAUCUACUUAACAAUUGUUCGAUCCAAAGUAAAUAAAUAAUCUGAUUCAUUAAUAUCAGCCAAAAUCUUUCUAUAAGAAAAUUGAUGUCAUUGUUAAUUACUAUCAUUGUGGCUUUUCAAUAUCUUAAUCUCAUUAUUUUUAUUGUCUCUUUUAAAGUUAAUCUCUUUUACUAUUUUUUAUUUAAAAUUAGUCAUAAAGAGUUAGGUUUCAUAUUUAUUUUGCUAAAAAUGAAAUACCAUUUAUAUAAAUAAGGUUCUGUUUGGGUAUUGAAAAAACAUGUGAAUUCUCAAGGCUGCUUUCAUGGUAAUUUACUCUUUUUAAAUUGUAAAGUUCACUAUUUUCUUUUUUUUAAGGGUUUACUAAAAUGCUUUUCGAAUUCUAAAAUUUAAAAUAUAUAAUUAUAUUAUUCCACAAUUUAAAAUAUAAUUUUAAGAAUUCCACAAUUUAAAAUACAAAAUUGUAAAUAUUUAAUAAUUUAGAAAAUACUUUUCAAAUAAAUAUCUUUCCAACUCUACAGUUAAAAAUAGGAGAUUAUAUUCUGGAUUGUAAAGUUUGAAAUGUAUUUUGCUUGAUUCUUAAAUGUUUUUCAAACUCUAUAAUUUAUAAUAUAUUUUUGUAUUUAAAAUAAUAAAGUUUGAAAGAUAUUUUCUAAAAUAAAAAAUUAUAUUAUUAAUUGUAAAGUUAAAAAAAUUAAGAAUCCAUAAAAAUAUACUCUACAAUUUACAAUUUGAAAUAUUAAAUUACAUUCUUAAUUACAAAAUUCUGAAGGUCUAUAUUGUUUAUAUAGAAAAAACAAAAUCAACACUUUUAAUGAGUUUUGGAAUUUUAUGGAAUUAAAAAAUUGUGGAGUUGUUACAUAAAAACUCCACCUUCUUUUGUAUACCAUUAAAAAUUGAGUGGACUCCUUUUUUUUUUGCACUUCAUGUUAUUUUAAUGAACCACACACCCAAAUCUUAUACUUUUAGGCAACAUGUAGGACCUUCAAAUAAUUUACUUUCUUUUUUUGUUGUGAUUUUUUUUUUUUUUAAAUGAGAUUUCCAACUUCAAACUUAGAAGUAAAAAAGUUAAAAUAAAAACUUUAGUACUUGCAGUUAAUGGUAAUUUUUAUUUAUUUUGGUCUAUAUAUAAAAAUAAAACCAUAUUUUAGUCUUUACAUAAAAAAAAUAUUCAAAAUUAUCUCAGUUAUUUCUCGAAAUUAUAAUGAUUUAUAGGAUUGAAUUAAGUUUAAAGUUUUCUUAUUCAUUGUAUAUAAGUGGGUGCAAACCUCACCUCUUAAAAUUCAUUUCGUAAUACCGAAAGAUAUUAAAUGAUAAAAGAAAAAAAAAACUAAAGAAAGAGAGAAAAAAAGGACCAGUAAUAACAAAGAUACCAACAAACUUUUGUUUAAGAAAAACCAAUUUUUUCAAUGUUUUUGUAAUAAAAGAAGAAAGACAGAGAUAGUGACCAGCAACAACCAUUUUCUGUAUAAGCAACAAAGCCACCACCAAACUCAGUGAGAUGAAAACCAAAGCUUGUCCUGUUUUCAUGGUGGUGGUUGAAGAAAAGCUGAUUCAAAGAAGAUGAAGCAGAAGGAAUUGCAGAAACUAACUGAUCAGUUCUUGAAUUGAUGAGUUUGUUUGAAUUCAUCAAUUUUUUGUGAAUUGCAUUGGUUGAUGAAUGGUGAACUUCAUGGUGGGGGAAUCAAGAAAGUGGGUGGUUCUUGUAGCAUUGAUAUGGGUGCAGGCAUUGACAGGCACAAACUUUGACUUCUCAUCAUACUCUUCAGACCUAAAAUCUGUGCUUGGCAUAACUCAGCUGCAGCUCAACUACCUCUCUGUGGCCUCAGACAUGGGAAAGGCCUUUGGGUGGUGCUCAGGUCUCUCACUCAUCCAUUUCCCUUUCUGGGUGGUUCUCUUCAUGGCUGCUUUCAUGGGACUCUUUGCCUAUGGCUUCCAGUGGCUUCUCAUUCAUAGCUUCAUCACCUUGCCUUAUUCUGUGGUCAGUUUUCUUCACACAACACUCUAAUUCUUUGGAUUUCAUUUUCAUACUGCAAUUUUAAGAAUAAAAAUUCAAACUUUCAUGAAUUUGGGAAAAAAGUGGGUGGAUUGAUUUUUCUUGGUAUGGUGAUAUUUGUUGAAAAGGUUAAAUAGUAAAGUGUACUUUUUGUUUUCAUACCUCAUCAUAAUACAGUUUUUUUUCUUCCCUUCAUUCUUUAACUAGUUCUUUUAGAACAAAGUUUGGCAUUUGUCUUCAUUCUAAAUCUUGAUGUAAUAUCUAAUUUUAUUUCAUUUUGGAGAAGUUUUUUCAUAAAUGCUUUAGUAAAAGAAAGAUAAAAGUUGAUUGCUGGUGGAGUUGUUCUUAUAGUUACAAAUUGGAUAGGAUUAUUAAGACUGGUAUUUUUUUUUAAUAUAUUUUUUGUCUGUAUUUACUAAUUAAGAAUAUAAUUUGUAAUCACAUAUUUAAACAACAAACUUAUUUGUCAAUUAUAAUCAAUCAUACUUGUCUCUAACUUUUACUUUUGUAUUCAAGCUAAUUCCUCUUUAGAGGAAAUGGGAUUAUCUUAUCUAAAUCAUGAAGUAUUCUUGUGAAGUUCUUUCCACCAUUUUGUUGGGUUAGUUCACCUACCCUUUGCUAUCAGUGGGGGUAGGGUAUGAAGAUUUAAUUAUAAGUUAAGUCAAAAUCAUAAUAAAGAUGAUCCAAUGAAAAAAAUAUGUAAAAUGAAAUUUUCCCCUAAUGUAUGUACUAUUUAUAUGGUGUAAGUUGUUAAAACAUUAUUUCCCUAUUUUAUAUUAUCUAUUGCAAUAUUUCUGUUUUUUUUAUAGAUUGUAUAUGAAUUCUCUAUGUCUACCUUCCACUCCUACCUUCCAAAACACAUGCAUCCUUAGUUUCUAAGCUUUGGUUAAGUUUGUUGCAAAUAUCUCCCUUCUACUGUGAAAGUGGCCCCCUAAACAGCAUCUUUUGGAUCACCCUUUAACAACACAAGUUCAAAUUUUCACAACUAUGAACCAAAGAUGAAACCAAAGCACCCUAUAAAACAGAAAAGGUCUCACUUACCCUUGCUUGUUUAGUACUUUUGAGAUAGUUCUAAGUUUUCCAAAAUAUGUAUGUCCCUAAGCACAUUUGGAAGUAUUUGUAUUUUGAGUUUAUUUCUGUUUCUUAAGAGUUUGUCUUUUAGGAAGAUAGUUCUAAGUUUUCCAAAAUAUGUAUGUCCCUGAGCACAUUUGGAAGUAUUUGUAUUUUGAGUUUAUUUCUGUUUCUUAAGAGUUUGUCUUUUAGGAAUUUAAAUAGUAAGAGUUUCUCUUUUUGGAAUUUAAAAAUAGAGCACUUGCAGGAAAUUGAAUAAGGUAAUUAAAAAACAUUUAUCUGUUGUUUAUGUCUUUCUUUCACUUUUAAAAUAUUUAUUUGAGAAACAAUUUUCAUCAAACUGGGCUUGAAGAAAAGACAUUGAGCUUGAUUUUCCAUUUCCACAAAAUACAUUCUAAACUACCUACAGAGAAUUAGUCUUGUAUAUGGUCCAAAGAACCAAACUUCGAAGAAAUACUUUGGAGUCCUACUAAGAAGUUAAGGUUACAAAGAAAAAUAAGAAUUAGUCUUAUAUAUGAUCUUAAAAAUCUCACGUCGAUCAGAAAUAUAAUAUAUAUCAGGAGCAAACCUCACCUUAUUGAACAGGUUAUUGAACAGGUUUUGUGAGGUUGUGUUUGGAAAAAAUUACUCUAUCUUAAUAUGGUAUCAAACUAAUUAAAAGUCUAAAACGAUAUUAUGAGGUUGAGUUAGGCUUAAAUUUCACUAUCUUAAUAAAUGGUAUCAAACAUUUUCUUAAAUUUUAAAUAUAUUUCAUAUUUUCAUUGGCUAUUCUAACUCCAAUUUCUUAGGAUGGCAAAAGUAGGUAGUUUUGAAUAUUUGUGAAGCAAUUUUAAAAGAACUAAUUUACUAUAUAAACCUCAGACUCACACAUUCACAUUCUACUGAUUUGUCAUGCUUAGCAUAUCAAACCUUUUAUAAAAAAAAUUGGCACAAAUCAAAUGAUAAUUAUAUUUCUACAAACUAUUCCAAUUUGAUUGCUACUAACAAAAACAUUUGUGCACAUUUAACAGGUUUUUUUUCUCUGUCUGAUUGCUGGCUGCAGCAUCUGCUGGUUUAACACCAUCUGCUAUGUCCUAUGCAUCAGACAUUUUCCAACAAACCGUUCACUUGCAUUAUCCUUGAGUGUUAGUUUCAAUGGUGUGAGUGCAGCUUUGUACACUCUCAUUGCCAAUGCAAUAAACUCAAAUGAUGACACUCUCUACCUAUUACUCAAUGCCAUAGUUCCUGUGCUAAUAUCUGUUAUAGUACUCAUCCCAAUUCUCCAUCAACCACAGCCUCAACCACAUUCUGUUGACACCAUUCAGCAUGAUUCGUCAAUUUUCCUCUGCCUCAACAUACUUGCCCUUGUCACAGGCCUCUACCUCCUCUUCCUAUAUUCCUUCUCUUACACAGCUUCCAUUGCUCGUGUAAUCCUUGUAGGUGCCAUUUUUCUCCUUGUGCUGCUUACUUUUGUUCCUUCCUUUGUGCAUUCUAUAGAAUCUUCUUGCUUUACUCUCCCCACAUGCUUUUCCUUCUGCUACUCAAGAUUCACUCGCUCUAACCCAGAUGACAAUGAACUUUACCAAGAGCUCAUUAGCAUCAAGGACAGCACAAUGAAUAAAAGUGCACAAAGCACAAGAGAGAAGAAAUGUUGUGUACUGAAUGUGUUGGAGAGAGAGCAGCUUACAGUGUUAGGGGAAGAGCAUUCAAUUAAGUUGCUAGUGCAUAGAUGGGACUUCUGGUUGUACUACAUAGCAUAUUUCUGUGGAGGAACAAUUGGUCUGGCUUACAGCAACAACUUGGGGCAAAUUUCCCAAUCACUAGGACACUCUUCUCAGACUUCUUCUCUUGUCACACUCUACUCUACAUGUUCCUUCUUUGGUCGCCUUCUUGCAGCCACACCUGACUUCUUAAGCAGGUACUUUUAAUGGUCUUUAAUGAUUAAAUUGGCUAGAAUUUUGAUAGAAUUCAACUAGAUUCAUUGGGGGGGGGGGGGGGGCGGAUGUUGCAUGACAUGAUGUGGUCCAAACAAGAGUUAAUAAGCAUGCCACUAAAUAGGUGUUGGGAGAACUCUCCCCUUAAAUGGAUUCAUCUGAUUCAACUCAGAUUACACUAAGGAUCUAAAGAAGAAUAACAAAGCAUGCCACUUAUUCUGCCACAAGUUCUAGCAAAAAAUUGUAUUUAGGAUCACUUUGAUUCCCUUCUCACAUUUUGGUAUUAAAAAUUGUUUCAAAACAAUUCAACACUACUUGGCAAUUAAUUCAUCAUCCAAAUCUACCAAGUUUGAAAGAAAAACUUAAAAACAAUAGCAGUUUGGAUGCUUUCUCAUGUUCUUCUUUGUUUUCAUCUUAUUCAACCUCCCCCUCAGCUCCAUACCAUGGUUAGUGCUUUGCACCACUCUCCAUCAGUUUUCUGACCAACCUUUGUGUAGUUUUAAGUUUUGAAAACUAAAUCAGUUUCUAAAAAAGAGAAAUCAGACAUAUCUUUUCCAUUUACAAAAUUAUUAAUCAUGUCAGUCAUUGUUUGGGUUCAGAUAACAUUUUCUACUUUACCAUUUCCCUCUUCAAAAAUUUGCACAGGAAACAGUGAAAACAACUUCAAAGUGUUCUAUGCUUUCAUUUUCUUGUUUUGUUUGGUCCUGCAUAAAUUCUUUCUCCUACCGAACUACUACUUUUGCAAAAGAAAAUUCUAUGUACUUGGUAUUUUUCCAUUUACAAAGUUAUUUAUGAGCUAAUGUCGUAUGACAAUGCAGGAGAAUACACUUUGCAAGAACUGGAUGGUUUGCAGCAGCCUUGGUGCCAACACCAAUUGCAUUCAUUUUGCUGGCCAUAUCUGGCAGUGGAGCAGCAUUGCAGGUAGGCACUGCCUUGAUAGGGCUGAGUUCAGGCUUUGUGUUUUCUGCAGCAGUGUCUAUUACCUCAGAGCUAUUUGGUCCAAACAGUGUUGGAGUGAACCACAACAUCCUCAUCACCAACAUUCCUUUAGGUUCAUGUCUCUAUGGCCUUCUUGCAGCCUUGGUUUAUGAUUCCAAUGCAAUGAACUCAAGGCCUGCAAUUUGGCUGCAAGAAAUGUCCAUGUGCAUGGGGAGGAAGUGCUACCUUCAAACCUUCAUAUGCUGGAGUUGCAUUUCAAUGGUGGGGUUGGUUUCAAGUUUCUUGUUCUUCUUAAGGACUAAACAAGCUUAUGACGAUUUUGAAAGGAACAGUAACAGAAACAAUAUAUCUGCAGAAUGAAGAACAUUGUAUCAUUAUCUUAAAAGAUUUGAUCAAUCAUAAAUACACCAAAAACAACAUUCACUAAUGAUAAAACCAAAUCAUAGUAUAUAUAUGUCAAAUUGUAAACCUUUUUGAAACGAAAAUAUUGUUUCAACACUAAUUAUACAUUACCAAAAAACUUUUUUUUUUAUCUGUUUUAGAUAUAUGCUUUGUAUCAUUUUUAUUUUUUCGUUUCAUUUUACAUAGUAAGUAUUAAAAGAACAUCACUGAAUCGUUUGCUUCAGUGCUGAGACUUUUCUUAUUCUUGUUCAAACGGCUCUUGGAAGAUCCAAUAUUUAUCCAAAUACUUUCUUUUUCACACUCUACAUUUAUCUAAUGUCCCAAAUUACGAGUUUAUAUUUUUUUUUAGGUUUUUUGGUUUAGGGUUUAGGGUCUUUCAAAAAUACAUUAAUUUUGAUAUAUUAAAAAAAUUUAAUAUAUUUUAAAAUAUCAUCUAAUAAUAUCCUUCAUAUAUAGAUAUAUAUAUAUAUAGGAAUAACAAUUUGACUUAUUAGUUACUUAAGAUCUUAUGAAAUGAAUGAAAGAAUCUUAUUUAUGUGUGAUUUUGUCAAUGCUCACCAUAUUUAGCCAUUAGUGAAAUAAGAAAUUAAUCAAAUUUGUCAUUAACCAUGUGUUUUAUAUGUGCCCAUAUAGAAGAAGUAAUAGAAUGGAGGAGAUUUUUUCUUUCAACAUCUCAUACUUUAAAAAUAUCUAAAUUCUCCUUUGAUAUUUUUUAUUAAAUAUUUUUUAAAAUUUCGGAAUAUAAUAUGAAAUGUUGAGACUAUCGCAUUAUAGAAUUUAGAAGUUAAAAUUGAUGAUUUUUUUUGUAUUAUAAAUUUUUCAAUCCAUUGAAGUAAAAUUUAGAAUAUAAAUUUACAUUAUGGAUUGUAGAACAAGAAUGAAUUGUAGAAUCAAGAAUGGAUAGUUUUGAAUUUUAAAAACUAUAAAGAUGAAGAAAAAAUACAUAGAGGUGCAGAUAUAUAUUGCCUAAAAUUCAGGUUAGAAGUACUUAAAAAAAAAACUCUAAGAAUAAGACUGGUCCAUGUCUUGCUUGAUGAAUUUUUAACAAACCUUAACCAUGUAAAGUUCAUUUGUUUGUAUUAUUGAUCUCAAUCCUAUACCACCUUCUUGAUAACUAAACAUAGCUUAUCCCAAGUUAUGACAAAUGUCUUAACCAUGGUGAUGUUAAUAGUCAAAAUGAAAAAUUUAAACUAUUUUUCUAAAACUUUAAACAAAGUUUUUGGCCAUACAUAGACUUGGAAAAUAUAAUAUGACAUACUUUACUUUCAAAUUUUUAUAUGAAUCUCUUCAUUAGUAUAAUUAAGUCACAAUGAGACAAAAAAAAUCUUUAAAAAAGAACAUAGUCAUCAUUAUAAUUUAUUAAAGAACUUACUACAAGUAUUCAUGAUGUCUAAAGUUUAGACUAAGAAUAAAAAUUAAUUUUGCAUUAUAGUACACAGAUGUUAAACAUAUUUAACCUUUUAAUAUUUUGAUGAUUUAUACUUUUAUAGUUCACGUUGUUUAGAGUUUGAAAUUGUACAAGAGACUAUGUUUGAUACAAUAAUCAAUUAUACCAUAUGUAAAUUAUACAUUUAUAUUAAUCCAACACCAAUACUUAACUUUUAAUAAGUUGGGUUGGAUGUUCGAGUCAUUAUUUAGUCAUUUUUGACACUUUAAACAUUGAAUAGGUGAGAGGUUUUUUAUGUUGCUUUAUAAUAAAGGAAAAGCUACGACACUAAAGGGAAGUGAAGGGAAGGGCAAAGUGGAAGGGCCAAAGGUGUUAAGCUAAUGGGAGGGCUUACAUUCAUAAUCAAUACAAUCGCCUUCAUCUUCAAAACUGAUUGGGAACUUAACCCAUUUUUUAGCUUAGAUAUCUUCAUUUUAGGAUGACUUUAACCAUCACUUAUCCAUAUGUACCACAAGUCAAUCACUAAUGAAAGUAAACAAUGAAUACCAUAGAAAAAACACCUUAAAUUCGACCAAUUUCCUGUCCAAGGCAUGUAAAACAAUAAUUGAAGACAUUCAAAGCUCAAUGAAUAUCACUUUGGAAGUCAAGAGGCCAUUUAACCAAUAUCGCAACACAGUUAACGACAUUCCUCAUUCGUUUUAAGCAAACAUUGUUAAAUGAUGCAAUCCUUAAAACUAUUGUCUCAAGCUAGUUAGCAAUCACAAACAAUUAUCAAUAAUCGUUCACUUCAUAAGCAUUGAUCCAUGAGCAUUGAUCCAUGACUUAUAUUCAUAAACAAUGCAGUCACCUUCAUUCUCAAACUUAUCUAGGAAUAUAACCACAUUUCAAAGUGAUUUUAACUACCACUUAUCCAUAUGUAUUGCAAGUCCGUCACCGAUAAAAGUAAACAAUGGACACCAUAAAGGAACACUGUAAACUCCACAAAUUGUUUGCCAAAGUCAUGUCAAUCAGUGAUGGGAGAUAUUUGAAACUCAACGAAUAUCACUUUGGAAAUCAAGAGGUCAUCUAACCAAUACCACAACAUAGUUAACCACACCCCAAGACUAUUUUAACAGGAUGUUUUACCAAUCAUGUUCAGUGAUGCAAUCAAUAUAAAUUAAACUCACAAUCAUAAAUAAUUGCCAAUAACCAUUCACUUCAUAAGCACUGAUCCAUGGCUUAUACAAACCUAAUUGGGAAUUUAAACAAUUUGUUAGAGUCUAUAAUCACGCUUAAGGAUGAUAUUAACAAUUAUUUAUCCAUAUAUAGUGCAAGACCUUCACCGUUGAAAUUAAGCAAUAAACACAAAAAAGGAACACCUUAAACUCCACCAAUUGCAUGUCCAAGCCAUGUAAAAAAUGGUUUGAAGACAUUAAGAGGUCAAUGAGUUUGACAUUGGAAGUCAAAAGGUAAUUUAACCAAUUCCACCACAAGUUUAACCAUAUUUCAUAUUUGUCUUAACCGAAACUUUUACCAGUCAUCUUCAGUGAUGCAAUCAAUCACAGUUCAUUUUCAACCAAGUUAUCAAUCUAAACAAUGGUCACUAACUAAGGACUUCGUAACAAUUUCUCGAGGUCUUAUGUUCUUCCUCAAGGCUAGUUAUGUGCAUCAAACCUAACAAAAACUUUUAACCAAAUUGUGAGGUAAAUCUUUCUUGAUGUAAAGUCUAUCAACUUACGCUUUUUUACCUAUCAAAAUUAGUUUAUUAUAUCAAUCAAAUGAUUGUUUAUGAAUAUGUAUAGUCUAUCUAUGUAUCGUUUUUGUUAACAUAUGAAUUUUGGUAUAGUCUUCCAUAUUUUUUGUAUUUUCUUUUUUUAUAAUAAUACUUUUUUCAUGUGAUGAUAGAUGAUUGUUGUUACUUGAGGUUAGACUGAGAUUCAAGUUGAAUAAUGAGGUCUAACCUGAAAAAUUUUUAUAAAAAAAAAAACUAUGAAAUUCAGUUUACGUGAAGGCUUCCACUUUUCUUAUAAUUAAUAAUUAAUUUCAAAUAAAUAAAAAAAUAAAAAACUGGAUGCAACUCAUAAGUAUAUUUUUGAUAUAUCAAUUGAAUAUAAAUUUAAUUCGAAUAAAUGCCGCCUGUGCAGAGCAAGUGCAGGUCCUAACAUAUUAAAAGGCUUGGUUUGGGUUUUCUUUUCUUCUUUCGAGUGUUGUUGUUGUCUGAGUCUCUGUGAGUGGUUCAAUCACAGUGCAACGGAACCAAUGCAUAACAUUGAAACCGUAAAACCCUAACCAUUCACGAAGUGAGAGGUUGUGUUGCGAAUUGUGAUAAUUGAUUGAAUCGAGUUGUUGAAUCGGUGGAAUGGAGGUGGAGUUGGAGCCUCGCGUGAAGGCGCUUCCGUUCAAGGUCAAAGCCACGUCGCGAGAAUCGCCGUCGCAGAAAGCGCUCCACGUCCUCGACACCGACCUCCGCACUCACUGGUCCACCGCCACCAACACCAAGGAGUGGAUUCUUCUAGAACUCGAUGUCAGUCCCUCUCUCUCUUUCUUCAAUGCAGCUCAACGUUUUCUUCAAUUUUCAUUCUCGUGCG